UACGUAGGUGGCAAGCGUUGUCCGGAUUUACUGGGCGUAAAGGGAGCGUAGGUGGAUAUUUAAGUGGGAUGUGAAAAUACUCGGGCUUAACCUGAGUGCUGCAUUCCAAACUGGAUAUCUAGAGUGCAGGAGAGGAAAGUAGAAUUCCUAGUGUAGCGGUGAAAUGCGUAGAGAUUAGGAAGAACACCAGUGGCGAAGGCGGCCAACUGGUCCGGUACUGACGCUGAGGUGCG
rnacentral:rRNA from 1 species